GAUGAACGCUGGCGGCGUGCCUAAUACAUGCAAGUAGAACGCUGAAGCUUGGUGCUUGCACCGAGCGGAUGAGUUGCGAACGGGUGAGUAACGCGUAGGUAACCUGCCUCUUAGCGGGGGAUAACUAUUGGAAACGAUAGCUAAUACCGCAUAAGAGCAGUUGUUGCAUGACAGCUGUUUAAAAGGUGCAAUUGCACCACUACCAGAUGGACCUGCGUUGUAUUAGCUAGUUGGUGAGGUAACGGCUCACCAAGGCGACGAUACAUAGCCGACCUGAGAGGGUGAUCGGCCACACUGGGACUGAGACACGGCCCAGACUCCUACGGGAGGCAGCAGUAGGGAAUCUUCGGCAAUGGGGGCAACCCUGACCGAGCAACGCCGCGUGAGUGAAGAAGGUUUUCGGAUCGUAAAGCUCUGUUGUAAGAGAAGAACGAGUGUGAGAGUGGAAAGUUCACACUGUGACGGUAUCUUACCAGAAAGGGACGGCUAACUACGUGCCAGCAGCCGCGGUAAUACGUAGGUCCCGAGCGUUAUCCGGACUUAUUGGGCGUAAAGCGAGCGCAGGCGGUUAGAUAAGUCUGAAGUUAAAGGCUGUGGCUUAACCAUAGUACGCUUUGGAAACUGUUUAACUUGAGUGCAAGAGGGGAGAGUGGAAUUCCAUGUGUAGCGGUGAAAUGCGUAGAUAUAUGGAGGAACACCGGUGGCGAAAGCGGCUCUCUGGCUUGUAACUGACGCUGAGGCUCGAAAGCGUGGGGAGCAAACAGG
rnacentral:rRNA from 1 species